GAUGAACGCUAGCGGGAGGCCUAACACAUGCAAGCCGAGCGGUAUUGUUUCUUCGGAAAUGAGAGAGCGGCGUACGGGUGCGGAACACGUGUGCAACCUGCCUUUAUCUGGGGGAUAGCCUUUCGAAAGGAAGAUUAAUACUCCAUAAUAUAUUGAACGGCAUCGUUUAAUAUUGAAAGCUCCGGCGGAUAGAGAUGGGCACGCGCAAGAUUAGCUAGUUGGUGAGGUAACGGCUCACCAAGGCGAUGAUCUUUAGGGGGCCUGAGAGGGUGAUCCCCCACACUGGUACUGAGACACGGACCAGACUCCUACGGGAGGCAGCAGUGAGGAAUAUUGGUCAAUGGGUGCAAGCCUGAACCAGCCAUCCCGCGUGAAGGACGACUGCCCUAUGGGUUGUAAACUUCUUUUGUAUAGGGAUAAACCUACCCUCGUGAGGGUAGCUGAAGGUACUAUACGAAUAAGCACCGGCUAACUCCGUGCCAGCAGCCGCGGUAAUACGGAGGGUGCAAGCGUUAUCCGGAUUUAUUGGGUUUAAAGGGCCCGUAGGCGGACUUAUAAGUCAGUGGUGAAAGCCUGUCGCUUAACGAUAGAACUGCCAUUGAUACUGUAAGUCUUGAGUAUAUUUGAGGUAGCUGGAAUAAGUAGUGUAGCGGUGAAAUGCAUAGAUAUUACUUAGAACACCAAUUGCGAAGGCAGGUUACCAAGAUAUAACUGACGCUGAGGGACGAAAGCGUGGGGAGCGAACAGGAUUAGAUACCCUGGUAGUCCACGCCGUAAACGAUGCUAACUCGUUUUUGGGCUUUAGGGUUCAGAGACCAAGCGAAAGUGAUAAGUUAGCCACCUGGGGAGUACGCUCGCAAGAGUGGAACUCAAAGGAAUUGACGGGGGCCCGCACAAGCGGUGGAUUAUGUGGUUUAAUUCGAUGAUACGCGAGGAACCUUACCAAGACUUAAAUGGGAAUUGACAGCUUUAGAAAUAGAGCUUUCUUCGGACAAUUUUCAAGGUGCUGCAUGGUUGUCGUCGGCUCGUGCCGUGAGGUGUUAGGUUAAGUCCUGCAACGAGCGCAACCCCUGUCACUAGUUGCCAUCAUUCAGUUGGGGACUCUAGUGAGACUGCCUACGCAAGUAGAGAGGAAGGUGGGGAUGACGUCAAAUCAUCACGGCCCUUACGUCUUGGGCCACACACGUAAUACAAUGGCCGGUACAGAGGGCAGCUACACAGCGAUGUGAUGCAAAUCUCGAAAGCCGGUCUCAGUUCGGAUUGGAGUCUGCAACUCGACUCUAUGAAGCUGGAAUCGCUAGUAAUCGCGCAUCAGCCAUGGCGCGGUGAAUACGUUCCCGGGCCU
rnacentral:rRNA from 1 species